GCGACCAAUACCGCCACGUAAAUGUGGUUCCA
rnacentral:scRNA from 1 species